rnacentral:rRNA from 1 species
GAGAGAUUCAUCGUCAUUCCGCGGCGUACGGGCUGCGCGCUUCGAUGUCGUCGGCCUCGGUCGUCAGGCACGACGCGCGUCCGUCGACGUCCGCGGACGGCGUGCACUUCUCUCUUAGUAAAUACAUCGCGACCCGUUCGAUGUCGGUCUAAGCGCCGUCCGGGAGCCCCACGGUCCCUUCACGGGGUCUGUGGGACCGCGACGGUGGCCGACCGGCCGUCGGACGGUAGUUCUGACGAAACGCGCACGCGUUUACAACGCGUCCGGCCCGACGCAAGUCAACGUCGUAUCCAACGUACCGCCUCAGUGCGGACGUAGGUGCGGCGCGUCUGUUGUUGCAGCCGUGCAGUCUCGGAC